GAGUUAGCCACAAAAUUGAGGAAGAGUUUGAAGCUCACGGCUGCCAGAGUGAAACCUUGGGCUCUGGUAUUAGCUGCCUUGUACAUGGCUGAUUGGAACACAAAGGAAAAUAAUCUUGUAAGUUGUUGAUGAAAACAAGACUACUUGAAAUUUUAAUAUGAAAAACAUCCUUCAUUGUCUGGCCUAUCAAAUAUUUAAUGGUUCUAAACUUCAAGUUAUUCUGAGAACAAGAUAGGAUAAUAAUGUAUAAGUCACAAAAUUAAAAUUGUCAAGUGGGUGAUGUAUGAUGAAGUGUAUAAGCACAUG
rnacentral:lncRNA from 1 species